UACGUAGGGUGCGAGCGUUGUCCGGAAUUAUUGGGCGUAAAGAGCUUGUAGGCGGUUUGUCGCGUCUGCUGUGAAAAUCCGGGGCUCAACCCCGGACUUGCGGUGGGUACGGGCAGACUAGAGUGUGGUAGGGGAGACUGGAAUUCCUGGUGUAGCGGUGAAAUGCGCAGAUAUCAGGAGGAACACCGAUGGCGAAGGCAGGUCUCUGGGCCACUACUGACGCUGAGAAGCGAAAGCAUGGGGAGCGAACAGG
rnacentral:rRNA from 1 species